rnacentral:rRNA from 1 species
UACGUAGGGUCCGAGCGUUGUCCGGAAUUAUUGGGCGUAAAGAGCUCGUAGGCGGUCUGUCGCGUCGGCUGUGAAAACACGGGGCUCAACUCCGUGCCUGCAGUCGAUACGGGCAGACUAGAGUUCGGUAGGGGAGACUGGAAUUCCUGGUGUAGCGGUGAAAUGCGCAGAUAUCGGGAAGAACACCCGUGGCGAAGGCGGCUCUCUGGGACGGUACUGACGCUGAGACGCGAAAGCGUGGGGAGCGAACAGG